rnacentral:tRNA from 1 species
UAGCUCAGCCGGGAGAGCAUCUGCCUUACAAGCAGAGGGUCGGCGGUUCGAUCCCGU